GGUUCAAUGGUCUAGUGGUUAUGAUUUCUGUCUCACAUUGAGACUCGCCGAGUUCUUUGGCUCACAGAAGGUCUCCAGUUCGAUCCUGGAUUGAACCA